rnacentral:rRNA from 1 species
UACGUAGGGGGCAAGCGUUGUCCGGAAUCAUUGGGCGUAAAGCGCGUGUAGGCGGCUUCGUAAGUCCGUUGUGAAAGUCCAGGGCUCAACCCUGGAAUGCCGAUGGAUACUGCGGAGCUAGAGUCCGGAAGAGGCGAGUGGAAUUCCUGGUGUAGCGGUGAAAUGCGCAGAUAUCAGGAGGAACACCAAUGGCGAAGGCAGCUCGCUGGGACGUUACUGACGCUGGAGACGCGAAAGCGUGGGGAGCAAACAGG